rnacentral:rRNA from 1 species
UACGAAGGGGGCUAGCGUUGUUCGGAAUUACUGGGCGUAAAGCGCGCGCAGGCGGCCAUUCAAGUCAGGGGUGAAAGCCCAGAGCUCAACUCUGGAACUGCCCUUGAAACUGUAUGGCUUGAGUAUGAGAGAGGUGAGUGGAAUUCCCGGUGUAGUGGUGAAAUGCGUAGAGAUCGGGAGGAACACCAGUGGCGAAGGCGGCAUCCUGGACCGACAUUGACGCUGACGAGCGAAAGCUAGGGGAGCAAACGGG